rnacentral:rRNA from 1 species
UACGGAGGGGGCUAGCGUUGUUCGGAAUUACUGGGCGUAAAGCGCACGUAGGCGGAGUGUUAAGUCGGGGGUGAAAUCCUGGAGCUCAACUCCAGAACUGCCUUCGAUACUGGCGAUCUCGAGUUCGGGAGAGGUGAGUGGAACUGCGAGUGUAGAGGUGAAAUUCGUAGAUAUUCGCAAGAACACCAGUGGCGAAGGCGGCUCACUGGACAGAUCCUGACACUGAGGCGCGAAAGCGUGGGUAGCAAACAGG